GCCAGGUGUAGUGAUGCACACCUGUAGUCCCAACUACUUGGGAGGCUGAGGUGGGAGGAUCACUUGAGCCCAGGAGUUUGAGGUUACAGUGAGCCGAGAUGGUGCCAUUGCACUCCAGCCUGGACAACAGAGUGAGACCCUGCCUCAA
ensembl:misc_RNA Metazoa_SRP Metazoan signal recognition particle RNA